CCUACGGGAGGCAGCAGUAGGGAAUCUUCCGCAAUGGACGAAAGCCUGAUGGAGCAACGCCGCGUGAGUGAAGAAGGUUUUCGGCUCGUAAAACUAUGAUAUCGGAGAAGAACGUACUUGGU
rnacentral:rRNA from 1 species